rnacentral:rRNA from 1 species
CUUACACAUGCAAGUCGAACGAUGAAGCCCUUCGGGGUGGAUUAGUGGCGAACGGGUGAGUAACACGUGGGCAAUCUGCCCUUCACUCUGGGACAAGCCCUGGAAACGGGGUCUAAUACCGGAUAAUACCUGCCUGGGCAUCUGGGUGGGUUAAAAGCUCCGGCGGUGAAGGAUGAGCCCGCGGCCUAUCAGCUUGUUGGUGAGGUAGUGGCUCACCAAGGCGACGACGGGUAGCCGGCCUGAGAGGGCGACCGGCCACACUGGGACUGAGACACGGCCCAGACUCCUACGGGAGGCAGCAGUGGGGAAUAUUGCACAAUGGGCGAAAGCCUGAUGCAGCGACGCCGCGUGAGGGAUGACGGCCUUCGGGUUGUAAACCUCUUUCAGCAGGGAAGAAGCGAAAGUGACGGUACCUGCAGAAGAAGCGCCGGCUAACUACGUGCCAGCAGCCGCGGUAAUACGUAGGGCGCAAGCGUUGUCCGGAAUUAUUGGGCGUAAAGAGCUCGUAGGCGGCUUGUCACGUCGGUUGUGAAAGCCCGGGGCUUAACCCCGGGUCUGCAGUCGAUACGGGCAGGCUAGAGUGUGGUAGGGGAGAUCGGAAUUCCUGGUGUAGCGGUGAAAUGCGCAGAUAUCAGGAGGAACACCGGUGGCGAAGGCGGAUCUCUGGGCCAUUACUGACGCUGAGGAGCGAAAGCGUGGGGAGCGAACAGGAUUAGAUACCCUGGUAGUCCACGCCGUAAACGGUGGGAACUAGGUGUUGGCGACAUUCCACGUCGUCGGUGCCGCAGCUAACGCAUUAAGUUCCCCGCCUGGGGAGUACGGCCGCAAGGCUAAAACUCAAAGGAAUUGACGGGGGCCCGCACAAGCAGCGGAGCAUGUGGCUUAAUUCGACGCAACGCGAAGAACCUUACCAAGGCUUGACAUCGCCCGGAAAGCAUCAGAGAUGGUGCCCCCCUUGUGGUCGGGUGACAGGUGGUGCAUGGCUGUCGUCAGCUCGUGUCGUGAGAUGUUGGGUUAAGUCCCGCAACGAGCGCAACCCUUGUUCUGUGUUGCCAGCAUGCCCUUCGGGGUGAUGGGGACUCACAGGAGACUGCCGGGGUCAACUCGGAGGAAGGUGGGGACGACGUCAAGUCAUCAUGCCCCUUAUGUCUUGGGCUGCACACGUGCUACAAUGGCAGGUACAAUGAGCUGCGAUGCCGCGAGGCGGAGCGAAUCUCAAAAAGCCUGUCUCAGUUCGGAUUGGGGUCUGCAACUCGACCCCAUGAAGUCGGAGUUGCUAGUAAUCGCAGAUCAGCAUUGCUGCGGUGAAUACGUUCCCGGGCCUUGUACACACCGCCCGUCACGUCACGAAAGUCGGUAACACCCGAAGCCGGUGGCCCAACCCCCUUGUGGGGAGGGAGCUGUCGAAGGUGGGACUGGCGAUUGGGACGAAGUCGUAACA